rnacentral:rRNA from 1 species
AUGUAAUGCAAUGCCUGCAUCAUUAAUGCAUCAGAUCCCAUUAUAAAUAUGCAAUUAAACACACUUGAGAUAGAGUAGUAUUAGGAUGUGUGACCUCCUAGGAAUUCCUAGUGUUUUACAUG